GGCGAGAUGGCGGAGUGGUCUAACGCGACAGACUAGAAUGUGAGGUCUCAGGCAUUCACAAGAGAUCUGUUACCUUCGGGUGCGCAGGUUCGAAUCCUGCUCUCGUCG